rnacentral:rRNA from 1 species
AUUGAACGCUGGCGGCAGGCCUAACACAUGCAAGUCGAGCGGAGCGGCGGACGGGGAAGUAAUGCCUAGGAAUCUGCCUGGUAGUGGGGGAUAACGUCCGGAACCGGGCGCUAAUACCGCAUCCUAUCAGAUGCGCCUGGGUCGGAUUAGCUAGUUGGUGGGGUAAAGGCCUACCAAGGCGACGAUCCGUAACUGGUCUGAGAGGAUGAUCAGUCACACUGGAACUGAGACACGGUCCAGACUCCUACGGGAGGCAGAAGUGGGGAAUAUUGGACAAUGGGCGAAAGCCUGAUCCAGCCAUGCCGCGUGUGUGAAGAAGGUCUUCGGAUUGUAAAGCACUUUAAGUUGGGAGGCGUUACCAACAGAAUAAGCACCGGCUAACUCCGUGCCAGCAGCCGCGGUAAUUC